CCCUCCCCUAAAUCACUCCAAAAAAAACAAUCCCCAAUUCUACACAAGUGUUUCUACACUAACAAAGCAACAGCUCCUUAACGAAUUCCCAACUUUACACGAGCUCGUCUCUCGAGGUUAAAUGUUAUUACUUGGUAAGAUUCCGGACCUCGCCAAGUGUUUUGAAAACCCGCAACGCUCGCAAAGGUGCAUAGUGAGAAUAAUAAGUGAAGAGACAGACUUGUCCAAAACGCCCACCACGAAGGUGCAUAGUGAGAAGAGUAAGUCAAGAGAUAGACUUGUCCAAAAAGAAACGGAAGAGAAAGCUUGGGGAGACGCUCACGAAGGUGCAUAGUGAGAAGAGUAAGUCAAGAGAUAGACUUGUUCAAAAAGAAACAGAAGAGAAUGUUUGGGGUUACACUCACGAAGGUGCAUAGUGAGAAGAGUAAGUCAAGAGACAGACUUGUUCAAAAAGAAACGAAAGAGAAUGCUUGGGGAGAUAGAAGUGUGAGAUAGUUCUCAAGCUAAGAAAGUUGUAAAAGCUAAGAACUAGCAAGUAAUCGUCCAGGAUUCCUCCACCAGGACUUGAAAUCGUCGAGGGAAAAAAAUCGGUUCCGAGGAAUCGUCGAUCCGGACUUGGAAUCGUCGAGAAAAGUUUACCGGGUCCGAGGAUUUGUCGACCAGGAGUGGAAAUCGUCGAGAAAAAUCUAUCGGGUCCGAGGAAUCGUCGACCAGGACGAGGAAUCGUCGACCGGGUCCGAGGAUUUGUCGACCAGGGGUUGAAAUCGUCGACCGGGUCCGAGAAUUCGUCGAC
rnacentral:misc_RNA from 1 species